AUGAUGAAUUCAAAGAAAUGUCUUUACGUCAUUUUUGGCGCAGUAUGUAGGAUACCUUAUGAGGGAGAAUUAGAGGAACCCCAUCGUGAAGAUGUGGAUGGAUUUGUUAAAACUAUUGCUGUAGAAGAGCCAAAGAAGGGCUCUGAGGCAAAAGUCUCUAGCAUACACUUUCCUGUUUUACGCUAUUUUGCCACAUUUGCUAGUAGAUACUUGAUUGGUCGUGGGAAUAGUGGAAAUUUGAGCAUUCCCGAUAUUCUUAUUCUUCAACAUGCUUUGCUGGGAGACAAUACUUUUAGUAUGGGUGCCGUCGUUGCUAAACGGCAAGCACUGAAUCGUAGAAAUGGCCCCAUAUUUGGAGGUAUCUAUGCUGCACGUCUUGCUAAACAUUUUUAG
rnacentral:rRNA from 1 species